rnacentral:tRNA from 1 species
GGGCCUGUAGCUCAGUUGGUUAGAGCCCUCGACUCAUAAUCGAAUGGUCGUAGGUUCAAGUCCUACCAGGCCCA